CUGAAUUUUAAGUAAGAUAUUCCUAUGCAAAAUUCCAGCUUCAUCUUUGGUUUGAAGAGGUGCAUCUCCAGCAGAACUCUGCAGCUUGACCUAUAGAGCCAGCCACUGUAGGCUGGAUUAUCAAAGAUGAGAGCUGGAUAUUUACAAUUGUCUAUUGAAGAACUGCAGAACAGGAGAAAAAAAAUGGCCUGAAAAUUGUGCUUUGUUAUGCAGCACCAUGUAAACCUCUCUCUUUUGUCCUGUUGUACUUUUAAUUACAUUUUUUUAUCACC
rnacentral:lncRNA from 1 species